UACGUCUAUAUCAUGUGGAAACACCGGUUCUCGCACGAUCACCGAGGUUAAGCAACGCCGAGCCUGGUCAGUACCUGGAUGACCGCUUGGGAAUACCAGGUGCUGUAAG